CGAUGACCAGGAUCUUCGCUCCCGUUAC
rnacentral:sRNA from 1 species